rnacentral:rRNA from 1 species
AUGUGCGGCAAUAAGGAGGAAUCGCUGUUUCACUCUCUGGUUACAUGCAAUCAUGCCAAACUGUUUUGGAUAGAGGCAGAAGAUUUCUUCGAGUUCAAGAUACCAAAACUACAUCCAGCGACGUGGUCGCGGGAUUUGCUUGAUCCCAGUUUCAUUGGGAGAGACCGGGCGGCUGUCAUUAUAUCAGUCAUGUGGGCAAUCUGGUCAAGCAGGAACAAAUACACCCAUGAGGAAGUCAAAUAUCAGCCCGGGAGAUCGAUGGUCCUAGUGAAGGAACUCAUCCAAGCUGUGUACAUCCCGCCCAAUACAGAGGGGAGGUGUAUUACGAAGGAGAGAUGGAAGCCACCGGGAGCUGGUUGGUUGAAGAUCAAUACGGACGCUGCGCUGGAUGGAAACGGGGUUUCCUCAGCGAUCGGACUAGUGGCACGGGGCCAUGAUGGAGAAUUGAAGCUCGCGAGAGGCCGCAAGCUGCCCGGGGUUACGGACCCGUAUUGUGCAGAGCUGCUAGCUGUGAGGGAGGCUGUGCGUCUGGCUAUGGAGAAGGGCUGGACGCGGGUGAUCGUCGAGACGGACUGCAAGACUGUUAUAAACGAGUAUAUGGCAAUGGAGUGCAGGUCGACGGGUAGCCCAAUCAUCAGCGAGAUCAAAUCCUAUCUCCAACACUUUCAGGGGUUGCAACUAAAAUUUGCUAGUAGAGAUGCCAAUGAGGUUGCUCACUGGUGCGCCAGAGAGAGUCUGGAUAGUGCUUCGAUUGUAAACUUUUUUGAUGUUUUCCCUGUUUCAUUGAUUGCCCUAGCGCAAUUGGAUGUAAACCGUCUUAUUAAUGAAUAA